CCUACGGGAGGCAGCAGUGAGGAAUAUUGGUCAAUGGACGAGAGUCUGAACCAGCCAAGUAGCGUGAAGGAUGACUGCCCUAUGGGUUGUAAACUUCUUUUAUAUGGGAAUAAAACGUUCCACGUGUGGGAUUUUGUAUGUACCAUAUGAAUAAUGAUCGGCUAACUCCGUGCCAGCAGCCGCGGUAAUACGGAGGAUCCGAGCGUUAUCCGGAUUUAUUGGGUUUACAGGGAGCGUAGGUGGAUUGUUAAGUCAGUUGUGAAAGUUUGCGGCUCAACCGUAAAAUUGCAGUUGAAACUGGCAGUCUUGAGUACAGUAGAGGUGGGCGGAAUUCGUGGUGUAGCGGUGAAAUGCUUAGAUAUCACGAAGAACUCCGAUUGCGAAGGCAGUUCACUGGACUGCAACUGACACUGAGGCUCGAAAGUGUGGGUAUCAAACAGGAUUAGAUACCCUUGUAGUC
rnacentral:rRNA from 1 species